GGGCGCUUAGCUCAGUUGGUUAGAGCGCAGCCUUCACACGGCUGAGGUCGGGAGUUCGAGUCUCCCAGCGCCCACCA
rnacentral:tRNA from 1 species